ACGAACGCUGGCGGCGUGGAUAAGACAUGCAAGUCGAACGAGAGAAUUGCUAGCUUGCUAAUAAUUCUCUAGUGGCGCACGGGUGAGUAACACGUGAGUAACCUGCCCCCGAGAGCGGGAUAGCCCUGGGAAACUGGGAUUAAUACCGCAUAGUAUCGAAAGAUUAAAGCAGCAAUGCGCUUGGGGAUGGGCUCGCGGCCUAUUAGUUAGUUGGUGAGGUAACGGCUCACCAAGGCGAUGACGGGUAGCCGGUCUGAGAGGAUGUCCGGCCACACUGGAACUGAGACACGGUCCAGACACCUACGGGUGGCAGCAGUCGAGAAUCAUUCACAAUGGGGGAAACCCUGAUGGUGCGACGCCGCGUGGGGGAAUGAAGGUCUUCGGAUUGUAAACCCCUGUCAUGUGGGAGCAAAUUAAAAAGAUAGUACCACAAGAGGAAGAGACGGCUAACUCUGUGCCAGCAGCCGCGGUAAUACAGAGGUCUCAAGCGUUGUUCGGAAUCACUGGGCGUAAAGCGUGCGUAGGCUGUUUCGUAAGUCGUGUGUGAAAGGCGCGGGCUCAACCCGCGGACGGCACAUGAUACUGCGAGACUAGAGUAAUGGAGGGGGAACCGGAAUUCUCGGUGUAGCAGUGAAAUGCGUAGAUAUCGAGAGGAACACUCGUGGCGAAGGCGGGUUCCUGGACAUUAACUGACGCUGAGGCACGGAGGCCAGGGGAGCGAAAGGGAUUAGAUACCCCUGUAGUCCUGGCAGUAAACGGUGCACGCUUGGUGUGCGGGGAAUCGACCCCCUGCGUGCCGGAGCUAACGCGUUAAGCGUGCCGCCUGGGGAGUACGGUCGCAAGAUUAAAACUCAAAGAAAUUGACGGGGACCCGCACAAGCGGUGGAGUAUGUGGCUUAAUUCGAUGCAACGCGAAGAACCUUACCUGGGCUUGACAUGUAAUGAACAACAUGUGAAAGCAUGCGACUCUUCGGAGGCGUUACACAGGUGCUGCAUGGCCGUCGUCAGCUCGUGUCGUGAGAUGUUUGGUUAAGUCCAGCAACGAGCGCAACCCCUGUUGCCAGUUACCAGCACGUGAAGGUGGGGACUCUGGCGAGACUGCCCAGAUCAACUGGGAGGAAGGUGGGGACGACGUCAGGUCAGUAUGGCCCUUAUGCCCAGGGCUGCACACGUACUACAAUGCCCAGUACAGAGGGGGCCGAAGCCGCGAGGCGGAGGAAAUCCUGAAAACUGGGCCCAGUUCGGACUGUAGGCUGCAACCCGCCUACACGAAGCCGGAAUCGCUAGUAAUGGCGCAUCAGCUACGGCGCCGUGAAUACGUUCCCGGGUCUUGUACACACCGCCCGUCACAUCAUGGAAGCCGGUCGCACCCGAAGUAUCUGAAGCCAACCGCAAGGAGGCAGGGUCCUAAGGUGAGACUGGUAACUGGGAUG
rnacentral:rRNA from 1 species